rnacentral:rRNA from 1 species
UACGAGGGAGGCAAGCGUUGUUCGGAAUUACUGGGCGUAAAGGGCGCGUAGGCGGGUGUUUAAGUCAGAGGUCAAAUCCCAGGGCUCAACCCUGGAACUGCCUUUGAUACUGGGCACCUAGAGUUCGGGAGAGGUGUGUGGAACUCCGAGUGUAGAGGUGAAAUUCGUAGAUAUUCGGAAGAACACCAGUGGCGAAGGCGACACACUGGCCCGAUACUGACGCUGAGGCGCGAAAGCGUGGGGAGCAAACAGG